GUGCCAGCCGCCGCGGUAAAACGUAGGAGACAAACGUUAUCCGGAGUUACUGGGCGUAAAGGGCGUGCAGGUGGUUCGUUAAGUCUGGCGUGAAAGCCUCCGGCUCAACCGGGGAAAGUCGUCGGAGACUGACGAACUAGAGGGCAGUAGAGGCGUGUGGAAUUCCGGGUGUAGUGGUGAAAUGCGUAGAGAUCCGGAGGAACACCAGUGGCGAAGGCGACACGCUGGGCUGCACCUGACACUGAGACGCGACAGCAUGGGGAGCGAACGGGAUUAGAUACCCCAGUAGUCC
rnacentral:rRNA from 1 species